CUUCUGGUGAAGAGUCCCAAACUAGGACGAAACAGCUGUCCAGUAC
rfam:Trichobilharzia regenti genome assembly, scaffold: TRE_scaffold0023794